UACGUAGGGCGCGAGCGUUGUCCGGAUUUAUUGGGCGUAAAGAGCUCGUAGGCGGCUUGUCGCGUCGUUCGUGAAAACCUGCAGCUCAACUGCAGGCUUGCGGUCGAUACGGGCAGGCUAGAGUUCGGUAGGGGAGACUGGAAUUCCUGGUGUAGCGGUGAAAUGCGCAGAUAUCAGGAGGAACACCGGUGGCGAAGGCGGAUCUCUGGGCCGAUACUGACGCUGAGGAGCGAAAGCGUGGGGAGCGAACAGG
rnacentral:rRNA from 1 species